rnacentral:lncRNA from 1 species
AUACUUUGAAAACCUGAAAUUGCUCUAUAAAGGCUCGCUGUUGUUAUUGGUAACAUGCAGGGGCUGGACUGAAUGACUACGGAAGGCCAGGACAGUGGAAAGACCAAGGGCUCUGGAAUCAGAUGAGCUGGGUUCAAAUGUGACCUCAGUGUCUUGUUACCUAGGAGGUAGUGGGCCCGUCUGUUCCUCUCUAUGAACCUCAGUUUCCUCAUUGGUAACCUGAAGACACUAGCUCAGACUAGAUGCCUCCAGAGUCUCUUCUUGCACCAGAGUUAUAAUCCUGUGAUUCACUACUAGCAGCAUGUAGAAAGGGACCCAGAUUUGCAGUCCAAGACCUUUCCUGGGUCAAAUCCUGACUCUGUCACUUUCUGUGAGACCUUGGGCAAGUCUCCUUACCUGUGGACCUGGGACCUCAAAAUGAGGGCGUUGGAGCUUGUCAUCCUUCCUACUCAAAGAAGGCCCAAGUGGCAUCCUGACAUUGGAGUCAAUGGCCAGGGUCAUCUAGCUGUGACCAAUCCAAGAAGAGGAAGGUGUGGGCCACCGACACAUGGACGCGUGUGGCCACUGUGUGCCAGCAAGAGAGCGACCAAGGAAAGAACACGGAGCUUUGGAAUCUUGACUUAAAGAGCAGACAGACCUUGCCUUCCUCUGAAGGUGCCCAUUCAAGGAAGAGUUUCAGAAUCUCAAUCUGUUCCCCAGUUCCGGCAUCCCACCCAAGAUAAGGCUUUAUCCUUGAGUGUUGCUGGGAAUUCAUCUCAGGGAGACAGGGAAGCUGGAAAAGGAAAGUGUUGAUAAAAGGCUUGACAUCUUGGAGUUGCCCUGGAAGAAGCCGAAUAAACCCAGUGUGAACCACUUGCCCCAUCAGGAUGUCUCCCUGCUUCAGCUAGACUGGUUUGCCCACCCUCUAGGUAUCAGUUGUCUUGCAGUUGGUGUUGGUGCUCUUUUCUCCAAAGGAUCUUUCUUCCUUUAUGCUGAAGACAAGGGCUCUAUAAAUCUCAAGGCACCAGAGGAAUUUGUUGUCCUUUCAGAAAUGUCUUCCCAAGGUACCAUGGGACUUCUAUGCUCAGACAUCUUCCUGGCUCCUAUUGCCUCUGGGAUAAAAUGUGAGUCCAUCAGCCUGGCUUUUAGGGACCUCCUACUAUUUGCCUUGAUGCUAUAGGUACAUUCCAACUUAAGUGCACUUAUAGUAAUCUCCUAAACUAUCUCUGGGUAUUCAGAGAAAUUGUCCCCUACACCAUACCUGUAAGCAAGGGCAUCUAUCAUUU